UACGUAGGGGGCAAGCGUUGUCCGGAUUUAUUGGGCGUAAAGAGCGUGUAGGCGGUUAGGUAGGUCCGUUGUGAAAGCCCUGGGCUCAACCUGGGAAUGGCAGUGGAUACUGGGAAGCUAGAGUGCGGUAGAGGAUAGUGGAAUUCCCGGUGUAGCGGUGAAAUGCGUAGAGAUCGGGAGGAACAUCAGUGGCGAAGGCGGCCAUCUGGACCAGCACUGACACUGAGGCACGAAAGCGUGGGGAGCAAACAGG
rnacentral:rRNA from 1 species